rnacentral:tRNA from 1 species
UCCCAUAUAGUCCAGUGGUUAGGAUACUCCGCUUUCAUAUAGCGUUAUGAUAGCGUUCCGGAGAGACCCGAGUUCGAACCUCGGUGUGGGAA